rnacentral:rRNA from 1 species
UUGACAGAGACUUCGGUUGAAGUCGUUAUAAUCCUAGUGGCGGACGGGUGAGUAACGCGUGGGUAACCUGCCUCACACUGGGGGAUAACAGUCAGAAAUGACUGCUAAUACCGCAUAAGCGCACGGAGCCGCAUGGCUCAGUGUGAAAAACUCCGGUGGUGUGAGAUGGACCCGCGUUGGAUUAGCCAGUUGGCAGGGUAACGGCCUACCAAAGCGACGAUCCAUAGCCGGCCUGAGAGGGUGGACGGCCACAUUGGGACUGAGACACGGCCCAGACUCCUACGGGAGGCAGCAGUGGGGAAUAUUGCACAAUGGGGGAAACCCUGAUGCAGCGACGCCGCGUGAAGGAAGAAGUAUCUCGGUAUGUAAACUUCUAUCAGCAGGGAAGAAAAUGACGGUACCUGACUAAGAAGCCCCGGCUAACUACGUGCCAGCAGCCGCGGUAAUACGUAGGGGGCAAGCGUUAUCCGGAUUUACUGGGUGUAAAGGGAGCGUAGACGGAGCAGCAAGUCUGAUGUGAAAGGCGGGGGCUCAACCCCCGGACUGCAUUGGAAACUGUUGAUCUUGAGUACCGGAGAGGUAAGCGGAAUUCCUAGUGUAGCGGUGAAAUGCGUAGAUAUUAGGAGGAACACCAGUGGCGAAGGCGGCUUACUG